GAUGAACGCUGGCGGCGUGCUUAACACAUGCAAGUCGAACGGUGAAGGCGGAGCUUGCUCUGCUGGAUCAGUGGCGAACGGGUGAGUAACACGUGAGCAAUCUGCCCCUGACUCUGGGAUAAGCGCUGGAAACGGCGUCUAAUACUGGAUACGAGCUGCGAAGGCAUCUUCAGCAGCUGGAAAGAAUUUCGGUCAGGGAUGAGCUCGCGGCCUAUCAGCUUGUUGGUGAGGUAAUGGCUCACCAAGGCGUCGACGGGUAGCCGGCCUGAGAGGGUGACCGGCCACACUGGGACUGAGACACGGCCCAGACUCCUACGGGAGGCAGCAGUGGGGAAUAUUGCACAAUGGGCGAAAGCCUGAUGCAGCAACGCCGCGUGAGGGACGACGGCCCUCGGGUUGUAAACCUCUUUUAGCAGGGAAGGAGCGAAAGUGACGGUACCUGCAGAAAAAGCGCCGGCUAACUACGUG
rnacentral:rRNA from 1 species